GACGAACGCUGGCGGCGCGCCUAACACAUGCAAGUCGAACGGAGCUUAGAGAGCUUGCUUUUUAAGCUUAGUGGCGAACGGGUGAGUAACGCGUGAGUAACCUGCCCUAGAGUGGGGGACAACAGUUGGAAACGACUGCUAAUACCGCAUAAGCCCACGGUACCGCAUGGUACUGAGGGAAAAGGAUUUAUUCGCUUUAGGAUGGACUCGCGUCCAAUUAGCUAGUUGGUGAGGUAACGGCCCACCAAGGCGACGAUUGGUAGCCGGACUGAGAGGUUGAACGGCCACAUUGGGACUGAGACACGGCCCAGACUCCUACGGGAGGCAGCAGUGGGGGAUAUUGCACAAUGGGGGAAACCCUGAUGCAGCGACGCCGCGUGGAGGAAGAAGGUUUUCGGAUUGUAAACUCCUGUCGUUAGGGACGAUAAUGACGGUACCUAACAAGAAAGCACCGGCUAACUACGUGCCAGCAGCCGCGGUAAAACGUAGGGUGCAAGCGUUGUCCGGAAUUACUGGGUGUAAAGGGAGCGCAGGCGGGAAGACAAGUUGGAAGUGAAAACCAUGGGCUCAACCCAUGAAUUGCUUUCAAAACUGUUUUUCUUGAGUAGUGCAGAGGUAGAUGGAAUUCCCGGUGUAGCGGUGGAAUGCGUAGAUAUCGGGAGGAACACCAGUGGCGAAGGCGGUCUACUGGGCACCAACUGACGCUGAGGCUCGAAAGCAUGGGUAGCAAACAGGAUUAGAUACCCUGGUAGUCCAUGCCGUAAAC
rnacentral:rRNA from 1 species